rnacentral:rRNA from 1 species
UGGGGAAUGCCUAGGCUCUCAGAGACGAUGAAGGACGUGAUAAGCUGCGAUAAGCUACGGGGAUUAGCACAUAUGAAUUGAUCCGUAGAUUUCCGAAUGGGACAACCCGGCUAGUUGAAGACUAGUCACACCUUCGGGUGAGUUAACCCAGGGAACUGAAACAUCUAAGUACCUGCAGGAAGAGAAAACAAUAGUGAUUCCGUUAGUAGUGGCGAGCGAACGCGGAUUAGCCCAAACCUUGAUCGUUACGGCGGUUGAGGGGUUGUAGGACUGCAACGUGGACUAUACAAUGAAUUAGAAUGAUUUGGGAAAAUCAACCAUAGAAGGUGAAAGUCCUGUAUAAGUAAAGUUGUAUUACCUAGCAGUAUCCUGAGUAGGGCGGGACCGGAGAAAUCCCGUCUGAAUUUGCCGGCACCAUCCGGUAAGGCUAAAUACUCCUG